AUGCUCCUGCCUCAGCCUCCCAAAGUGCUAGGAUUACAGGCUUGAGUCACCAGGCCCAGCUGGCACCUUGCUUUCAGAUCCUGGAGGAGAGAAGGGCUGCAGGCAUGGUUUCUUCCAGGUGAGGGACCCAGCUCCUGGUGUCUUCACUACAGGUGCCCAGACAGGGAGAUCUGCAGGUUGGGCCGUGUCCCUCUUACUUUCUCCCCACCCGUUCAUGUUUCCAUGUCAGCUUUCCUGCCUGAAGAAAUUCUGGUCACAUGUCUCUCAGAAAUGGGUCGACAGUUGAAUUCGGGUGGGAAGUAGGAGAUGGGCCAAGAGUGUGAGUUCUCUGGUGCACCCCAUUAGAUGUUUCUCUCAUCGAGUCCCUCACUCAUGCCAGGGAGAUGAGCAGCAAUAGAGAAGGCCCAGAUCUGGCUCUCAGCUGACCACGUGCACACAAGCCAGCCUAGGAAGCUACUGUAAAUCUCUGCCAAUAAAAUCCAGGGUGCAAUGCUGGGAAAGAGUGGGGUGUCAGAAGUUUUUAUGGGAAAAAGUUAUUGGGUCAAUGAUAUAUGUUUUUACUGCCUAGACUCUGGGUCUGCAUUUAUUCUUAUACAAAGUUGCAACAUGCACCAACUCAGACAUUGUAAGACUGUAAGAGAUUCUGAGGAAAACAAGUACAUAUUAUAGCUAGAGAGACCAGCAGGAUGCUCAGGGGCGACUUGUCUACCAUCCCU
rnacentral:lncRNA from 1 species